rnacentral:rRNA from 1 species
UGGGGAAUAUUGCACAAUGGAGGGAACUCUGAUGCAGCGACGCCGCGUGAACGAAGAAUGCUUUCGAGUCGUAAAGUUCUUUUAUAUGGGAAGAUAAUGACGGUACCAUAAGAAAAAGCCCCGGCUAACUACGUGCCAGCAGCUGCGGUAAUACGUAGGGGGCUAGCGUUGUCCGGAAUCACUGGGCGUAAAGGGUUCGCAGGCGGAAAUGCAAGUCAGGUGUAAAAGGCAGUAGCUUAACUACUGUAAGCAUUUGAAACUGCAUAUGUUGAGAAGAGUAGAGGUAAGUGGAAUUUUUAGUGUAGCGGUGAAAUGCGUAGAUAUUAAAAAGAAUACCGGUGGCGAAGGCGGCUUACUGGGCUAAUUCUGACGCUGAGGAACGAAAGCGUGGGUAGAAAACAGG